CAGAGGCCCCAAGCGUUACUGAGAAUCACUGGGUUCAAAGGGUGCGUAGGUGGCGCGUUAAGUCCGUUGUGAAAGCCCUGGGCUCAACCCAGGAACUGCUUCGGAUACUGGCGCGCUUGAGGCGAGUAUGGGUCACUGGAACUGACGGUGGAGCGGUGAAAUGCGUAGAUAUCGUCAGGAACGCCAAUGGUGAAGACAGGUGACUGGGCUCGAUCUGACACUGAGGCACGAAAGCGUGGGGAGCGAACGGGAUUAGAUACCCCCGGUAGUCCACGCCCUAAACGAUGCAGACUAGACUGCAGCGGGUUACACCCCGUUGCGGUCGGAGCGAAAUUGUAAGUCUGCCACCUGGGAAGUACGGUCGCAAGGCUA
rnacentral:rRNA from 1 species